rnacentral:lncRNA from 1 species
UAUGUAGCAGUGAAAGGUUUCGCUACAUAAGAUGACGUCACUUCCUCGGAAGAUUUCUUAUAAAGCUCGCGUUGAUAAAUAGUUCAGUUCCUUCGCUUCCCCGAUUAGUACAACAUGUGCUAACGAAGAAAUGGAAUCUCUAAUUUCGGCGAUACGCAAGGUAUUGCGGAAAUGAAGCUUCCAAUCGAUUGGAAAUUUGUCUGGUCAAAUUCAGGAUCGAAGAUCCGAGUCGUAUCCUCACAGAUGUUCUAGAUGUAUGACUGUUUUUUUAGACGGUUAAAGAGAACUGACUUAACUUAACACGGUAUCUCCAAAUGAAUGCCGUCACCAUGAGCCUUAAAUUAAAUGGGUUGGUGCGUUUGUUUCUCUUCCUAGUAAGCUAGAUACUCAAUUUGGUUACUUCAAUUGUUCAUGUUGCGUAGGAGUGUGCUACGCCGGUGAUUCUACUGAUAGUCUGUUGGAGGCCCGAUUUCGUUUAAUCAGUUUCUUUUAGAGUUAUAACCGCUGCGUCAUUAUAUAGAAACUUAUAGAGGUGUGGAAAAGCUUGUUAAGAUAUAAUCAUGUAUGCGCAUCUUAUAAUAUAAGAAGGCUUAUUAAAGACUGUCUUCAACCCUCUCUUGUAUAUGAAAAUUGGACGUCCUAAAGAGAACUCUCUAGUCCUGGAUAUUAGCUAUGUCUCAUAAUAAUUGGGUUGAAAAAUUGGAACCAUUCACUUUACAUCUUGGGAGUACUUUCAAAUUCAGUUGGUACAGAUCCAAUCACGUUGCUUAAUAACAAUGAUCGUUAAUUUGAAUUUAAUUGAGGAAUAUUAUGUAAAUACUAUAAUUUAUGUUUUUUCCAAUAAAUAAGAUUAAAUUAUAUC